UUAAGUAAGGAAGGGCGUACGGCGAAUGCCUUGCCACUCGAAACUGAAGAAGGACGCGCCAAACUGCGAAAAGCUCCGUGAAGCUGUAAGGAAGCGAAGAAGCGGAGGUGUCCGAAUGGGGGAACCCGGCAGCAGACAUGAGCUGUCAUCUGCAGGUGAAUACAUGGCCUGCAAGAGAGGUACCCGGCGAACUGAAACAUCUAAGUAGCCGGAGGAAAAGAAAACAACAGUGAUUCCCUGAGUAGCGGCGAGCGAAAGGGGAGAAGCCCAAACCGGUUGAAGGACCGGGGUUGAAGGACCAUGACAUGGCAAGAACGAGGAUAGGAGAACGGGAUCGAAAGCCCGGCCGAAGAAGGUGAAAGCCCUGUAACCGAAAUCCGAGUAAAGCCUAAUGGGAUCCUGAGUACGGCGAGACACGAGAAAUCUUGUCGGAAGCAGGCGGGACCAUCCGCCAAGGCUAAAUAUAAACGAGUGAGCGAUAGUGAACCAGUACCGUGAGGGAAAGGUGAAAAGAACCGCGGGAGCGGAGUGAAAGAGAACCUGAAACCGUAUGCCUACAAGAAGUCAGAGCCCGUUAAGGGGUGAUGGCGUGCCUUUUGUAGAAUGAACCGGCGAGUUGCGACAGACUGCGAGGUUAAGGAGGAAAGACCGGAGCCGAAGCGAAAGCGAGUCUUAAGAGGGCGAAAGUAGGAUGUUGCAGACCCGAAACCGGGUGAUCUAGCCAUGAGCAGGUUGAAGUUGAGGUGAAACUCAAUGGAGGACCGAACCGACUACCGUUGAAAAGUUAGCGGAUGACUUGUGGCUAGGGGAGAAAUUCCAAUCGAACCCGGAGAUAGCUGGUUCUCCCCGAAAUAGCUUUAGGGCUAGCGUCGGAAAGAACCUUAGUGAAGGUAGAGCACUGAAUGUGUGAUGGCCCCAUCCCGGGGUACUGAAUACAAUCAAACUGCGAAUGUCAUUAAGGAUGUCCGGCAGUCAGACUGUGAGUGAUAAGGUCCAUGGUCAAGAGGGAAACAGCCCAGACCGCCAGUUAAGGUCCCAAAAUACAGGCUAAGUGGAAAAGGAUGUGGGGAUGCCCAGACAACUAGGAGGUUGGCUCAGAAGCAGCCAUCCUUUAAAGAGUGCGUAACAGCUCACUAGUCGAGUGACCCUGCGCCGAAAAUGUACCGGGGCUAAGCCUGAUACCGAAACUGCGGAUUGUAGGAAACUAUAGUGGUAGGGGAGCGUUGUAUACGAGCAGAAGCCGUACCGUGAGGAGCGGUGGAUUGUAUAGAAGUGAGAAUGCCGGUGUGAGUAGCGAGAUGUAGGUGAGAAUCCUACACACCGAAAGCCCAAGGAUUCCAGGGGAAGGUUCGUCCGCCCUGGGUAAGUCGGGACCUAACGCGAGGCCGAAAGGCGUAGUGGAUGGAAAGCAGGCGAAAGAUUCCUGCACCCGUAUAUGGAGCGAAGGAGUGACGGAGACGGAUAGUGUGACCCUCUUAAUGGAUUGAGGGCGAAGCGAAGCGGCUGGUUACCAGGCAAAUCCGGUAACCAUAAGGCUAGAGCGUGACAGGUAAGCGAAAUCUUAGGAAAGUAGCGAAGCACAUGAUGACGGCUUCCAGGAAAAGCUUCUGGCAAUGCAUAUGCGGCCCGUACCAAAACCGACACAGGUGGGCAGGGAGAGAAUCCCGAGGUGAGCGAGAGAACUGUUGCCAAGGAACUCGGCAAAAUGACUCCGUAAGUUAGCGAGAAGGAGUGCUUAAGCAAUUAAGCCGCAGUGAAGAGGCCCAAGCGACUGUUUAACUAAAACACAGCUCUCUGCGAAGUCGCAAGACGAAGUAUAGGGGGUGACACCUGCCCGGUGCUGGAAGGUUAAGAGGAUCUGUUAAGAGCGAUCUGAAGCAGUGAUCCGAAGCCCCAGUGAACGGCGGCCGUAACUAUAACGGUCCUAAGGUAGCGAAAUUCCUUGUCAGGUAAGUUCUGACCCGCACGAAAGGUGUAACGAUUUGGGCGCUGUCUCGGCAGCAGACUCGGUGAAAUCUUAGUACCUGUGAAAAUGCAGGUUACCCGCAACUAGACGGAAAGACCCCAUGGAGCUUUACUGCAGCCUGAUAUUGAAUUCUGGUCAUACAUGUACAGGAUAGGUGGGAGACAAAGAGACGUGCACGCCAGUGUACGAGGAGUCGACGUUGGGAUACCACUCUUGUGUGACCGGGGUUCUAACCUGGUAUCGAGAACAGGUACGGGGAGAGUGUCAGGUGGGCAGUUUGACUGGGGCGGUCGCCUCCCAAAGAGUAACGGAGGCGCCCAAAGGUACGCUCAGAUUGGAUGGAAACCAAUCGUCGAGUGCAAUUGCAGAAGCGUGCUUGACUGUGAGACAGACAAGUCGAACAGGGACGAAAGUCGGGAAUAGUGAUCCGGCGGUGCCGAAUGGAAGGGCCGUCGCUCAACGGAUAAAAGCUACCCUGGGGAUAACAGGCU
rnacentral:rRNA from 1 species